rnacentral:rRNA from 1 species
GAUGAACGCUGGCGGCGUGCCUAAUACAUGCAAGUCGAGCGAACAGACGAGGAGCUUGCUCCUCUGACGUUAGCGGCGGACGGGUGAGUAACACGUGGAUAACCUACCUAUAAGACUGGGAUAACUUCGGGAAACCGGAGCUAAUACCGGAUAAUAUAUUGAACCGCAUGGUUCAAUAGUGAAAGACGGUUUUGCUGUCACUUAUAGAUGGAUCCGCGCCGCAUUAGCUAGUUGGUAAGGUAACGGCUUACCAAGGCAACGAUGGGUAGCCGACCUGAGAGGGUGAUCGGCCACACGGGAACUGAGACACGGUCCAGACUCCUACGGGAGGCAGCAGUAGGGAAUCUUCCGCAAUGGGCGAAAGCCUGACGGAGCAACGCCGCGUGAGUGAUGAAGGUCUUCGGAUCGUAAAACUCUGUUAUUAGGGAAGAACAAAUGUGUAAGUAACUAUGCACGUCUUGACGGUACCUAAUCAGAAAGCCACGGCUAACUACGUG